rnacentral:rRNA from 1 species
GGGACCUUCGGGCCUUGCGCUAUCAGAUGAGCCUAGGUCGGAUUAGCUAGUUGGUGAGGUAAUGGCUCACCAAGGCGACGAUCCGUAACUGGUCUGAGAGGAUGAUCAGUCACACUGGAACUGAGACACGGUCCAGACUCCUACGGGAGGCAGCAGUGAGGAAUAUUGGUCCAAUGGACGAAAGUCUGAACCAGCCAUGCCGCGUGAGUGAUGAAGGUCUUAGGAUUGUAAAGCUCUUUCACCGGAGAAGAUAAUGACGGUAUCCGGAGAAGAAGCCCCGGCUAACUUUCGUGC